AAAAGUUGAGUAUUUUUAUUACUGAGGGAAAAAGUGGAGUUAUAUUUGAUUUUCCAAACAUAGCCGUGCUUAAAAGCACAUAACCUGUCAUUGUACCCACGCACUUCUUCUCCCCUUCUGAACAUGAUAAGAAUCUUCCAGAACCUUCUGCAACCAUUCCUCAGACCCCACCACAGCUCUAUUCCCCUCCGCGGCUUCUACUCCCUCGCGCCGCCUCCGGACCCUGCCGCGCCGCCGUACGCCGUCGACAUCUUCCAAUGGAACGCCGUCAUCACCGCCCACCUCCGCGCCGGCAGGGUGGCCGCCGCGCGCCGCGUGUUCGACGAAAUGCCGGAGCGGAACGUCUUCACGUGGAACUGCAUGAUCUCGGGCCUCGUCGGGAACCGGAUGCUCGCCGACGCGCGCAGGGUGUUCGACGCGAUGCCCGUGAGGAACCCCGUCUCGUGGGCGGCGCUCCUGACGGGCUACGCGCGGUGCGGGAGGGUCGCCGAGGCCCGGGAGCUCUUCGACCGGAUGCCGGACCGGAACGUGGUCUCCUGGAACGCCAUGAUGUCGGGCUAUCUGCGCAACGGGAUGGUCGAGCGUGCGCGCGAGCUGUUCGACAUGAUGCCGUCCAGGAAUGACGUCUCGUGGCUGACGAUGAUCUCUGGUUAUAUCAAGAAGCGGCGUCUCCGUGAGGCGAGGGAGCUGUUUGACCUCUCGCCUUCCCAUCCGACUUCGGUGUGCAACGCGUUGCUGUCGGGCUACGUCGCUCUUAGUUGCUUGAAGGAUGCAGAGGAGCUGUUUGGUCGGAUGCAGAGACGGGACCCUGUUUCCUGGAAUGUUAUGAUCACAGGCUAUGCUCGGGCUGGACGGAUGCAGGUUGCUCAGAGUCUGUUUGAUGAGAUGCCCCAAAAGGACACCAUAUCUUGGACAGCCGUUAUGCGUGGGUAUUUGCAGAAUGGAGAUGUUGAUGCUUCAUGGAAGGUGUUCCAGGACAUACCUGAUCGGGAUGUUGUUGCUUGGAACACGAUGAUGGGUGGUUUUGUGCAGAGUGAGAGGUUGGAUGAUGCUUUGAGAUUGUUUGCUGAGAUGCCAGAGAGGGAUCUGGUAUCAUGGAAUACAAUCCUGCAAGGCCAUGUUCAACAAGGGGACAUGGCUACUGCAAAUACCUGGUUCAGAGGAAUGCCUGAGAAAGAUGAGACCUCGUGGAACACAUUGAUCUCUGGGCACAAAGAUGAAGGAGCACUAGCUUUGCUCUCAGAAAUGAUCCGAGGAGGACUCAGACCUGACGAAGCUACUUUGAGUGUUGUUAUUUCUAUCUGUGCCUCACUUGUCGCACUCGGAUAUGGAAAAAUGGUGCACCUCUAUGCAGUCAAAACUGGGUUUGAGCAUGACGCAUUGGUGAUGAGCUCAUUGAUAUCUAUGUACUCGAAAUGCGGGCUAAUCGCUGAAGCUUCCCAAGUUUUCAAGCUGCUGGUGCAAAGAGAUACAGUGACAUGGAAUGCCAUGAUUGCAACAUAUGCUUAUCAUGGUAUGGCUUCUGAAGCUCUGAAACUCUUCAACAAGAUGACUAAAGAUGGGUUUCGUCCAGACCAUGCAACCUUUCUAAGUGUAUUGUCUGCUUGUGCGCACAAAGGCGAUUUAUAUGAAGGUUGCCGCUAUUUUAGAAGUAUGCAAGAAGAUUGGAAUUUGACUCCAAGAUCUGAUCACUAUUCUUGUAUGGUUGAUCUCCUAGGAAGAUUGGGUUUUAUUUACCAGGCUUAUGAUUUCACAAGAAAAAUCCCAUCCGACCUUCAAAUAAAUGCUUGGGAGACAUUGUUUAGUGCAUGCAAUGCUCAUGGGGAUGUCCAACUUGGAGAAGUGAUUGCAAAAGAUGUCCUUCAGGCCCGACCUUCUGAUGGAGGAAUGUAUACACUCUUGGCAAACAUAUAUGCUUCAAAAGAGAUGUGGAGCAGUGCUGCCAGUGUUAGAGGAGUCAUGAAAGAGCAGGGGUUAAAGAAGGAGACUGGUUGUAGUUGGGUUGAGCUGAAGGGAGAAGUUGUUUCCUUCUCAUCAAAUGAUAAUGCACAUCCUCUGAUUGAGUGGAUAUGCCAAGAGGUUGAUAAUCUUUCUGUCAUGAUAGAAGAGGGAGCUUGAUAUCAUUCUCAAAUGGAACUCUGAAAUUUGGUGAGGUAAUUUGAUGACCCUCAUGUCUUCAAAGACCAAACACCUUUUUAUGGCAGGGGCUUGGGAUAUGCCCAAACGAAAGGUUUUGAAAGAUUGCGAGUUACUGAAUUACGAGUAUUAGUACCUGCUCAAAGGAAGUUAAAACAAGACUACAGUCUCAUACUCUGGGAACUCUUUGGUCAUGACUGGAAGAGGUGAGACAAGGUGAGGUACUGGAACAAUAAAUUCUGCAUAAGUGGCAUUAUGUCUUUAUUUCUCAUCCAAGAGUCAAAGCUGCUAGAGAUCUCAAGCUGCUAAACGUAAUUUACUAAGACUACACUGGCCCACUGUAUCAAGAUUUUAGAACAAACCAGAUUGGAAAAAAUCUGUGUCUUAUAAAUCAAGAUAGCAGCAUAUGCAACAGAGCUAAAUGUAGCUUUCAUGACAGGCGAGAUAUUUUCCUAUCACAGCAAUUGGAGACCACACAGUAAGGCCCCACAAACAGAUUGGUACUCCAAUGUCAUUUUCCUCCAUUACCACACACUCAAUUCUCUCUCUAUCUCCCCCCACCUCCACCCACAGGCCUUACCACCAAACCUCAGGCUUCAAUGGCCAUGGCAACCAGUUAUUCAAUCUCCAACCCAACAUUUACCUCCAAAUCUUCUCUUCCUAAUAAACAAGUCCCAAAUUGGAUAUUUCCUAUAAUCAGCAGUGAUAAUGGCAGUGGGGGUAUGUUCACUUUGGCGAGGAGGAGUUUAAGAGCAGGGUUCCAUGUUUGUGCUGUCACUGGGGACCAGAACACUCGCAAUGUCUUUAGUGCAAAUUUCCCAAGCGAUUAUACGGAACUUCUACUGCAGGUGCACCAAUGUUUAUACCUCUUUUUGUGCGGCGAGGUUACAGUUGCAGACAGUUGUUAUAAAAGUAACAUAUAUGAAGGGUCGUAUGGAGUUUUGUGCUUG